CAUCGUGAAGACACACAAACGUCCAUUACGUUUUUUGAGACACGCAGGUUCCAGGCCUGGAGCACCGCGGCCUACCUUAGCCGGGUCCCCGAGUGGCUUCUCCGGCUGCCGGGGCACGAGCGGCCCCGCGGCCUUCGAGGGCCGGUGACACGGCGCACAUGGCCGCGCUCGCCUCCCGCCUUGGCGGGAAGACUUGCAGUGCGGACGCGUGAGGCCGACUCAGAGCCUACCCAUGAGGCAGCGCGCCGCGGCUCGCGACGCCCCCUCCCCCAUCGCGGCGCUCGGCAGCCCGCUCCGCGAUGGGAGCCGCCGCGGUUGCGGCGCACAGCCCGCGCUCCUCCCUCGCCUCCUCCUCUUUCUCCUCCUCCUCAGGGCUCCAGUCAGGCCGAGCCGCUCCGCUCACGAAGCAGCUUGAAGAGUCAAGAAAACUUUUGGAGCUGUGAAAUGCAAGCUGAUGCCUUUGCUGGAUAUUCUGUUUCUCUUUUAGGUGAUUUAGUUAUUUAUUAAAUUAUAUCCUUCACUCAAAUUGUAAAGCAUUUUUCAUGGAUUUUAUAUGACCAAUUAGUAGAAGUAUGUGAGUGUGAUAGUUGCGGAGUACUUUUUUUGGCUGCCAAUUAGCUCCCAACUCAAGACACAGAAACUUACUAUUUGUUAGGAGUGCUUGGCCUUAGUAGGUUUGUCCCACUAGAUCUUACAACUUAAUUUAACCCGUUUCUCCUUCUCUACAUUUUGCUUUGGGGCUUUUUACCUUUCAUUCUGUAUGUCCUCCUUUAUAUAUGUCCUAUUCUGUGGCUGCCUGGCUGGCCCUGGGCAUUUUCUUCUCAUAUUCUCCUUGUUCUAGAUUCCUCCUACCUAUUCUCUCUGCCUGCUAGCCCUGCCUAGCCCUCUACUGCCUAGCUGUUGGCUGUUCAGCUUUUUAUUAGACCAUUCAGGUGCCUUGGUCAGGCAGAGCAACACAUCUUUACAUUGUUAAACAAAUACAAUAUAAACAAAUGUAACACAUUUUGCCUAAAGUAAUAUCCUAGAACAGAUAGUAUAAUUGUGAUUCUUUUAAAACCAAUUUUAUUUUUUUAAAGAUUUAUUAUGUACAUAGUGUUCUGUCUGCAUGUGUGUCUGCAGGCCAGGAGAGGUCACCAGAUUUCAUUACAGAUGGUUGUGAGCCACCAUGUGUUUGCUGGGAAUUGAACUCAGGACCUUUGGAAAUGCAGGCAGUACUCUUAACCACUGAGCCAUCUCUCUAGCCCCUAAUUGUGAUUCUUAAUAUUGGUACUGGUAAGACCUUAAUGUUGAACAAGAAUUAUCAUAGAUUGUAAGUUAGGGGCAAACUGCAACUAUUUAAGGAAUUGAGUUAGAACCUAGGGUGGUGGUACACACCUUUGAUCCCAGUACACAGUAGGCAAAGGUAGGUAGAUCUCUGUGAGUUUGAGGCCAGCCUGGUCUACAGAACUAGUUCCAGGACAGAUAGGGAUGGCUAUACAGAGAAAUCCUGUCUUGAAAAACCAAUAAAUAAAUAAUUGAGUUAAAAAGCCA
rnacentral:lncRNA from 1 species